rnacentral:tRNA from 116 species
GCGCCCUUAGCUCAGCUGGAUAGAGCACGUCCCUUCUAAGGAUGUGGUCAUUGGUUCGAAUCCAAUAGGGCGUGCCA